GACGUAGGGCGCGAGCGUUGUCCGGAAUUAUUGGGCGUAAAGAGCUCGUAGGCGGUUUGUCGCGUCUGCUGUGAAAACUCGGGGCUCAACUCCGAGCUUGCAGUGGGUACGGGCAGACUAGAGUGCGGUAGGGGAGACUGGAAUUCCUGGUGUAGCGGUGGAAUGCGCAGAUAUCAGGAGGAACACCGGUGGCGAAGGCGGGUCUCUGGGCCGUAACUGACGCUGAGGAGCGAAAGCAUGGGGAGCGAACAGG
rnacentral:rRNA from 1 species